rnacentral:rRNA from 1 species
UACGAAGGGUGCAAGCGUUAAUCGGAAUUACUGGGCGUAAAGCGCGCGUAGGCGGUUUGAUAAGUUGGAUGUGAAAGCCCCGGGCUCAACCUGGGAAUUGCAUCUAAAACUGUCUGACUAGAGUACGGUAGAGGGUAGUGGAAUUUCCUGUGUAGCGGUGAAAUGCGUAGAUAUAGGAAGGAACACCAGUGGCGAAGGCGACUACCUGGACUGAUUCUGACACUGAGGUGCGAAAGCGUGGGGAGCAAACAGG